rnacentral:rRNA from 1 species
GAUGAAUGCUAGCGUCAGGCUUAACACAUGCAAGUCGAGGGGCAGCACGAUUAAAGCUUGCUUUAAUUGGUGGCGACCGGCGCACGGGUGAGUAACGCGUAUGCAACCUACCCAUCAGAGUGGGAUAACCCGGCGAAAGUCGGACUAAUACCGCAUAAAACAGGGAUCCCGCAUGGGAUAUUUGUUAAAGGAUUAAUUGCUGAUGGAUGGUCAUGCGUUCCAUUCGAUAGUUGGUGAGGUAACGGCUCGCCAAGUCUGCGAUUGAUAGGUGUGCUGGGGGGAGGGUCCCCCAGACUGGAACUGCGAGUCGUACCAGAAGCGUACGGGAGGGAGCAGUGAAGGAUAUGGGUCAAUGGGUGAGAGACUGACGCAGGGAAGAGGCGUGAAGGAUGACUGCUCUAUUGGUUGAAAACUUCUUUUAUGGGGGAAAAGUGGGCGGUACGUGACCCGCAAGAGAAAGGACCCUAUGACUAAGAAUCGGCUAACUCCGUGCCAGCAGCCGCCGUAA